CUUAGAGUGAAUCCAUGACUGUUUGAAGGGGUAUCAUAGUCUGUUAAAUGUGUGGCAUGGAUGUGGCCUCUGAUCUGAAAAGCAGAAAGCAGACAAGUUCAGAUUUAUUUAUUAUUAAACAACUAACUGUAAUGAUAACAGCCUGCUUUCCUUAUGCACUGGUGCUGAAAAGGGCAAGGAAAGCUGUCUUGUUGUUGUUGUUUUGGAUAUAGGUAGGUAGCCAUGUUGGUCUGCCGUAGUCGAGACAAAAUAAAAAAAAAAUCAUUCUAAUAGCACCUUAGAGACCAACUAAGUUUGUUAUUGGUAUGAGCUUUCGUGUGCAUGCACACUUCUUCAGAUACUAUUUUUUUAAAUGUUGUUUUUAUUUUGUUUUGUUUUUGUUUUUUGUUUAGGUAACAGACAGGCCCCUUCCUCCAUCCUCCCCAUGGCUACAGACCUUUGUUCUACCAAAUUGUUUGUCCUUGAUAAUGUUGCUUAUCCAGAGAUAGCCCAAUUAUAGCGGUUAGCCCAGUUAUAUAGCCCAGUUAUAGCGGUUAGAUGUGAUUCAUUCCUUAUUAAUAAAUCUAGCAAAAAGACAAAGCUAUGGCGCAAAUGUGGAUUGUAAAAUACACUUAUUUCCCAGUAUGGGGUCAAGUCCACUAUGAUGUGCCUGGCAACUUAUCUAUUUCUAAUACAAACAGAGUAAAAUCCUUUGAGCGGAGGUAAUAGCUCUGUAAUGUUACAAACCUGGAUCAGAUCAAGGGUCUUAAAUUGGGAUCAGGUACUGUUGAAGCAAAGAGUCAGAUAAUGCAAUAUAAACAUUAGUCUAUGCUAGCAUGUCUCCAGCGAUUUCCUAUCCCCCAUUUGGUAUUUUGUCUGAGCUUUAAAUAAAAAGAAAUAGAUUCUAACAGAAUGGAUGGGGCUUCUGAUCAUCUGGUAGGGAAAGGGAACUACUCACACAUUUGUAAAAGGUGAUUCCUACCCCAUUGUAUUUACCCAAAUAGGUAAUUUAUCAGAUUUUAUCCAAAUAGAUAAUUUGCCCACUUUAUCCAAUUCUAUGUGUUAUUCCUACCAAUUUGAGAUUCAGAAAUGAAAAAAACAAACAAAAACUUUUCAUGUGAUAUAUCAAAGAAUUGUAGAAUCGGAAAAUUGUAGAGUUGGAAGGGACACCAAGGCUCAUUUUGCCCAUCCCCCUGCAAUGCAGGAAUCUCGGCUAAAUCAGCCAUGACAGAUGACAGAUAUGACUGGUGGCAAAUAGCUGUUUGUCUCAGAAUCAGGUUCUCUGGCUAAGGGUCCCUGAGGUCACUUGACAAAAUUAGGAGCUAGAGAAACAGUCUGAGGGAAAGCCAUGCUCUAAGUUUUUGUUUUUAAUUUGGUCAACCCAGAUACUUUAUUUAUUCACAGGCCACUCUUAACUGGAAGGCCCCAAGGUGGAAAUGUGUAAAAUGAAAGCAAAAAUUGAGCAAUAGAGUGGUACCUCAGGUUAAGAACGUAAUUCAUUCUGGAGUUCUUAACCUGAAACUGUUCUUAACCUGAGGUACCACUUUAGCUAUUGGGGCCUCCCGCUGCUGCCGUGCCACAGGACCACGAUUUCUGUUCUCAUCCUGAAGCAAAGUUCUUAAGCCGAGGUACUAUUUCUGGGUUAGCGGAGUUUGUAACCUAAACCUAAAACUAGCCAACAUAAAUGCCACACAAAUAAUACAGGUACAGUAAUAAAGGGCAUUGUGAUGUCUGCCUGUUAUAGGGGCCAUUGCUGAAAAGCUCUGUUCCCUUUUGUGACAGAGGCAGUGUGGUGCAUUUGUUAGAACUGGGGUUGGGUAUCUCAGGCCCAGGAACCAAAUGUGGCUCUUGGGACUCUCCCCAAGCCAUACGCCCUUCCCAGAUCAGAGACCUUUUCCCCACAAGGAUGGAGGAGAACCAUGUACACCACCUUGAGAGCUUCAGAGGAUCUAAGAGUUAUAAUAAAUGAACAAAUAAAAUAAAAGGGCCAGUGGACUAACCAUAUACAAUGAAUGACAACUUAAGGUUCUGAGUUUUGGAUCUAGCCAUUAAAGUCUUAAGUUGCUUGAGUUCCAGAGUACCAGACAAUGUGGACAAUAUUCAAAAUAGGUAUAUAAGGGCAGGUCAGAAUGGAAUGUGCUGUUAUGGGGGUGGGGUGUCACGUGAUCUUUUUUUAACCUAGUGACUCUGGUGGGAAAAGGAGUCAGUUUGCAUUUCCUAGUACCGAAAUGUGUAGAGAUCUUUCCUGUUCUGCUUUGUUCAAGAGGGUUCUAGAAGGUUUUAUCUCUGUGUGAAAGAAGGUUCUUGUUCGGGUUAUUCCUUCUGAGAAGCUGAGUACAGCUAGUUUGAACUGGUUCUAUUAUCUUUCUGUCAAGGUCACGCUGACUACAAUAGUCAGGGUAGAAGGAGACUGGAUUUCACUUACUUUCUCUUUCUAUCUCUUUGUUCUGGUGUGGUGUUCUGUUCAUAUAUAAUGUUUAGUCUUAUUUUAAGUUAUUGUUAAAUUUUAAGUUAAGUCUGCUGCAACUGGAUUUCUUCUGGAUUGUGCCAAUCCUGAAUGUAUUGGAUUUGUGACUGUUAUACUCAUUUGCCUUCAGUAGCAGUAAAGCUUUGCUGGACAAUUGCCUCUGGUCUAUUGUUUGGCAACUCUGCAACAUGUUUAAGUUUCCCCCCCACACGUGACAAAUGGUCCAGGAUUAGCAGGAGUAUAGGAACCUUGCCCAGAGAUGUUCCUCUUAUAAACUCAGGUGAUGCAUAAGCCAGAAAAGUUGGAAGAUGACACUCUCACUUGUGUUCUGCCUGGCCAGGAGAGGAGGGCAAGCUAAGCCUGAAGCUUUUGGUGGCAGGCUGAGAUUCACAGGAGACUGACUCCUGGGUGAGAACUGUACCCCUAAAGCUUUUCACUGCUCUGAACUGGGGUGCAUGUGUAUGUAUAACAAUAUUGUUCUGGAAGCAAGGGAGGACUUUGGUAAUAUCGCACCAGAGUAUGGCCAAAAUUUGGUGUCCCCAAAUGGAUCUUCUCACUUAUGGAACUUCUCAGUUUUGCACCCCCUUGGCUUCGUACCCUGUGUGUGGGAACCACCUCCACCGAAUUAAAUCCUGCACUGCUGGAAGAGAGCCACUGAUCAUUUUUAAUAGGAAAGAAUAAAGCUAGAUAGCCUUGGAUCUGGCACAGAAUACUGGGCUUAUUGAGUAUCAGGUUUCUAUUAAAUCACAUUCUCAUUCAAAAGGAUAGUUCAUAUUGUAAUUGAAGAUGUCACCCUUCACUCAUUUCAGAUAGAAUUACUUCAUUACUUAUUCUUUUGUACUUUGAGUCUAUUUAUCUCUACUGAAAAAGAUAAAUACAUGAUGAAAUAGGAACAUUGCAAAGAAUGAUCUUGUCAAAUCACUGCUAAAACAGAAAGAAUUCUGAUUCUUAGAAACAAUUGUGCUCUCUUAAGCAGCUACCCCCAUCAACAGCAAAAGGCUUUAUAGAUUUAUCUCUAACAGACUUUGAAAAUGAAACAUAAGAACCAGACAUUUCACAAGAAUUACUUGGCGCAAAAUGUCAGAUCUCCAAGAUAAUACGUUAAUUAGCUAGCAACUUUUCCAGUGCAGGAAAAUAAAAAAAAUAAUUGAAAAAAUGAAUUAUUAAAGUAUUCCAAAGAUGACUGAUGCUGAAUGCCAGCAUUCCUUAAAAUCAUAGUGUUAUUAUGCUAACAGUUACAGAAGCUAUUAGCAUUUUUUUUAAAAAAGAGAACUCACAAACAUGUAAAACAUCUCUUUAUUUGUUGUUAAAGCCCAAGCCUUUCCUGUAUGUUCUGGGUGGAUCAUUACAACUUUACCAAAAAUGGCAGAGCUAUCACUGUCACUGUAAAUGAAUCGGACAGACAAGUUUCUGGAAAAGAUAGGAAGAUAAAGCAAAAUAUAUAAAAUGUAGCCUUCAAAGAACACAGCAAUUACAUCCCUGGAACUAACCAAAAGCCAUCUAGUCCAGCAUUUGCUUUCCAAGAGUGACUCUCCAUAUAAUGUUAGAAAGCUCACAAAGAAGGCUAGGUGAUAGCCUUCCCCCAAUAUUUGUUGUUAAGUAUAAUUAUUUAAUUUCCUGAAAUUGGGAAUGCUUAAAUGCAUUACUGUGUGUUUAAUUCUGGAAUGUUUGAACAGUAACUCUUGUGUGAUUGGUUAACUCUGGGUCACAUGGGAGGUUAAAAGUUUUUUGUUUUUUUUAAAGAUAAAGGUCCCCUGGAUGGUUAAAUCCAGUCAAAGGCAACUAUGGGAUGUGGCGCUCAUCUCACUUUUCAGACUGAUACAUGGGAGGUAUCUUAUUACAGUCUCCAUUUUGUUUUGUGUGUGAGUGACUUGACUCACCGACACACAAAACAUGAACGCUGAAGAAAAGAAAGUGAUAGAGUACUCUUUCUCUCCCUGAACACAAUAGAGGGGUGGAGCGCUAUCGUUUCUGCGUGAAUGUAUGUAACUAAUAGAAGUACAGAAGUUGAUGUUCUUCCAAAAAAGCAGUAAGAAGAAGUCUGCCAGAAAGACAAAGAAGGAACCUCUUAGGAGGAACUAGCUGGGUCAUGUGCAGAAGGCUGAGAGCGAGUAUUGGAAACAGAGAAAGACACAGUUUGUUUGACUGUUUACGAAGGAAGCAGUAAUCUUCAACUAAGUGAAAAUUAAGC